rnacentral:rRNA from 1 species
AGAGUUUGAUCAUGGCUCAGGAUGAACGCUGGCGGCGUGCUUAACACAUGCAAGUCGAACGGAGUUUUAACGGAAGUUUCGGAUGGAAGUUAAAACUUAGUGGCGGACGGGUGAGUAACGCGUGGGUAACCUGCCUCAUACAGGGGGAUAACAGUUAGAAAUGACUGCUAACACCGCAUAAUAUAGCGAAACCGCAUGAUUUUGCUAUCAAAUAUUUAUAGGUAUGAGAUGGGCCCGCGUCUGAUUAGCUAGUUGGUGGGGUAAAAGCCUACCAAGGCGACGAUCAGUAGCCGGCUUGAGAGAGUGACCGGCCACAUUGGGACUGAGACACGGCCCAAACUCCUACGGGAGGCAGCAGUGGGGAAUAUUGGACAAUGGGGGAAACCCUGAUCCAGCGAACCGCCGCGUGAGUGAAGAAGUAUUUCGGUAUGUAAAGCUCUAUCAGCAGGGAAGAUAAUGACAGUACCUGACUAAGAAGCCCCGGCUAACUACGUGCCAGCCGCUGC